rnacentral:rRNA from 1 species
GACCAAGGAGUCUAACAUGUGCGCGAGUCGUUGGGUCUUCAUUAAAGAAACCCAGAGGCGGAAUCAAAGUGAAAGGCGGCGACACACUAUCGCCCGCCCGAGGGAGGAUGGGAGCGACCCCCGCCCGGCUCCGGCCGGCGGCCAGGCCUCCCCGCACUCCCGGGGCGUUCCCGUCUCAUGACGAGUCGGAGCGCACCCAGAGCGUACACGUUAGGACCCGAAAGAUGGUGAACUAUGCCCGGCCAGGACGAAGCCAGGGGAAACCCUGGUGGAGGUCCGUAGCGAUUCUGACGUGCAAAUCGAUCGUCGGAGCUGGGUAUAGGGGCGAAAGACUAAUCGAACCGUCUAGUAGCUGGUUCCUUCCGAAGUUUCCCUCAGGAUAGCUGGUGCCCGGGAGAGACGAGUCUCAUCCUGUAAAGCGAAUGAUUAGAGGCAUUGGGGGUCGAAACGACCUCAACCUAUUCUCAAACUUUAAAUAGAUGAGAACUCCGGCUUGCUCGAAAGGUGAAGCCGGAGAUUCGGAUCAGGGUGCCCAGUGGGCCAAUUUUGGU